GGGGCCUCCAGAAUGAGUGACUAGCCUCUCUUUACAGUCUCACCUGCUCAGCUCUGUGACUCCAAACUGCAGUGUUUUCUCUCUUCAGUGUUGAUGGCAUGGCUAGUCCUCAGUCAUCUGGUCAUCACAACUCUACUGAGCCCCUCCCCUGGGUGCUGGACUGGCUCUAACACUGUGCGAAUGGACAGAAGGAGGCUCAUGCUUGUGGUGCCAACGUUCUAAGUUGGGGAAGAGUCAAUGUAUGAAUUUUAAAAAUAGUAAAACAAGAUCAUUUCAGAGAACAGAAGACAACACCAAGCAUGGGCCACCUGUGACCACAUGGACCCUAGGACCCAAGAGCAUGGCCCUGGAGCUGCCUGGCCCUACUGGCCUAGACUGGGCCUUGGCCACGCACUCCUCACCUUCACAGUGGCAUUGCAGUACCGGGCACAGCCGCUCUUCAGGCUCCCAAACCUGCCACUGUAGACACAUCUGUGUGUGAAGAGUGCCUGGAGAAAGCCAAGGAGGGAAAGCGUGUCAGUCAGCAUGUUUAGGUCCUCCAGGCACUGCACACCCUCUGCAGACACUUGCCAUUGUACUUCCAUUUCACCACUGACGUCAGGAGAGAGUGCUGGACCACACCAGCAGACCUGGGUCUACAUCAGAGCUUGGGCACCCUUUUUUAGGCCUGUUCCCUUGUUGGUGGAAUACAGGCCAGAGUUUGCAUCAUCCAUGGCUCACAGGUCUUUAUUCCCUCUUUCAUGCCACAGCAGAUGUCUCUAAGCAGAAAAUAUUUUCUGUUCAUUCUGGAUGCGGUCUAGUCUCCCCUUCUGAUCUACAGCCAUCCCUAAGAUCUCUUUUAGAGACAUUUUGGAGCCCCCAAAGGGUCUAUCUGUACUUCAUUGAAAGGUUUGCCAAACAAAAUUGUGAUAAUCUGAGUUUUUCUCUUAGGAGUGGGGCAGAUUUAUAUGCAUCCUUCCAUUCUCUAAUCAAAAAUGCCCACUCAUAGUUAUCUAGAACUGAUGUUUACUGAGAACUGUUUAUGGGCCAGACACAUUGCACAGAUGAGUUCAUCAAUCUUCAAUUCUAUGUGGCUGUUUUUCAUGCCAUUUUUUAUAAAUAAGGAAACUGAGGCCCAGACAGGUGAAAUCAUUUUUUCCAAGAAACACUGAUAGUAAGUAUAAGGUCUAGAGAAUGGGUCUUAUCAGGUACAGACUUUAGGAUCACAGUCAUGUAGCCUCUGUGGGCCUCAGCUGCCUAAUCUAUAAAAUAUCAAGAAAAUAUUGAUGAGACAAUAAUGCUGGUUUCAAGUUUUGUCAUAAGACUUUAGUCUCUGGUUCAAAUUUUGUUUUAGAUAAUUGUUGAUGUCAAGCUUACCCCUUCAUCUUGGGCUCUUGCUCAAGAAGAGAGCAAUGAGACUUUCCUAGGGUAUAAAAUCCUAAAAUAUUAGCUAUAUAAGGAAUUCUGAGGUCACUGAGGAAGGAGCACUACAGUCCUUUUGUCGAGGAUCUCAGGAUAAUUAACCAGAAUGGUGAUUAAACAUGCAGAACAAAUCAUGGUUCUGCCACAUCAGCUGUGUGACCUUGUACAAGAUGGAGCUUCUCAGAUAAAAGCAAAAUGAAAUGAUUUCUUAUUCAUCCUCAUGCCUCUGGAAGCAAGCACUAUGUCUGAUAUAUGAUCAGUCCUCAAUAAAUGUGUACAGAAUUCAAUUAAACCUGGAAGCUUUUGACAGUC